UACGGGGGGGGCAAGCGUUGUUCGGAAUUACUGGGCGUAAAGGGCUCGUAGGUGGCCAACUAAGUCAGACGUGAAAUCCCUCGGCUUAACCGGGGAACUGCGUCUGAUACUGGAUGGCUUGAGUUCGGGAGAGGGAUGCGGAAUUCCAGGUGUAGCGGUGAAAUGCGUAGAUAUCUGGAGGAACACCGGUGGCGAAGGCGGCAUCCUGGACCGGCACUGACACUGAGGAGCGAAAGCCAGGGGAGCAAGCGGG
rnacentral:rRNA from 1 species